GUGAAGUGAUCAUCUUUGGCAUUAUCCUUUAUUAAGGAUAUAUCAUAAUUUAUUUCUUUUUAAAAAUGUGAAUUUGAAGACUCAAAAGCCCAAGGUAGACCCUUGAGUCUGUCAUUCAGAUCUCAUCAAUGGGUUCUCAAAUUCCAGGUUCUACAUUAUGGCCCAUUUGAAAAAUAGCUAGAUAUGUCAGAUUAAAUAUCCAUUCAUAGUGUGUUUUAGGUAACAGGCUUUGAACCAGUCUAAAUUCAGUAACUAAUUAUUUAUUUUUCUAGUGUAUUAACAGAUUUCUGAAUGGGUACUAAUAGUACUAAUUGGAAAACAGCUAUUACCACAUUUAUUAUGGUUCUAGUUGUGUAUCUAACAAGAAAGAUGGUUGGUUACAGAUUGGGUAUAAACCUACUCACUAAGAGCAACUUUAUAGGGGAAAAUAUUUUUAAUUUAGGUUAAUAAGAAAAUUAAAGACCUUGAAUUUAGACAUAACUUGUGAAAAAUAAUUUUUUAAUUGAUAGAUAACUCUGGGUUUUAAACCAUUAGAGAUCUGAGUUCAAAUAAACAGAGGAUUACAAUUUACAAUACAAGAAUAAAUGUGGUGUUAAUUAGUGAGUUGGCUUACAGCCUACUCCCAGACUAAUGUCCUGCUUAUUUCUUUAGUCCUAUUAGACAUACUGUGCACAAAAAUGCCUCAAAAAGUGUCGUAGCCUAUAUAGACCAUAUGAUCUCAACUCUGCUCUAAAA
rnacentral:lncRNA from 10 species